CCAGUGAGUCGGCCACAGUUUUUUCUACAUGUUAUCAAGAUAAUUACUUAGUUAGUUUAUGCGGACGCCUUAGAACUCCAAGUGGGACUGACUAAUCACCGGAAUACACCGGAAUUCACAUAUAAUCACCGGAAUUCACCGGAAUUCACUUCGAAAACCCCCGAUUCCUCCCACAAAACUAAUUUAUUUUAAAUGUAUAAUACAUUAUAUUGUAAAGAAUUACUAUUUUGAUAUCUCCACAGGCCAAAUAAAGGCCCUGUGUGUGUAUUUAUGUUACAGGUGGUAAAAUAGAAAAAACUAUUUUACAGUUUUUGUAUAUAUUAACUUUAAAUGUUUUUAGUAUAGCACAUGUUAGUGAGCACCUUUAAACCCCCACUUUAAUAUUCUAAACUUCAUAAGUCAACUUCUGUAAGCUGUUGUUGCUUUAGCAAUGGUUGUUAAGUUGAUUACAUUUAGCUAAUCUAAGCAUUUAAAACCCCACUUCCGGGUUUUUAUUACUUGCCUGGUUGAUACAAUAAUAAAGUAUUGAACCCAAUCUGGAUUGUUUGUUGAAACGACCCCCAGACCCCCUCUAUAACAUUGGAGCCCGAUAAGUUUGCUGAAGAGAACAUCCGUCGGUGUCAAGCAGCUUAUGGUGGAUAAUUAUUGGUGGAAAUUCGUCUUCAGCGGUAGAAUCAAUCAACUUAAAACGUGAAUUGCGUGUGCGAACUUUUUAAUCUACAAAGAUAGCUAUCUGUGCAGAUGUUUGGGGUAGGCCUACGUAUAUUUUAGUCAAGUUUAUAGAUAUUUUGUAAUUAAGUUAUUUGAAUUAUUUGGACUAAGACUAGUAAUUAUUUCCCUUUAUUUCAUGAUGGACUAAUGUAGUGCGAGUUAUAAAUAGACAAUUUUUCCCUUAAUUUUUUUCUCCCCUCUUCCUGCAUUUUUGGGUUGACUUUUUGGUCUAGAAUUGGAGAAAAGGGAUCAAAUUUGCAAUUUCAUAGCAGUUUUGGGUAAUACUGAUGAUAUUACAGCGGAGGGAUAGGGGGUGUAAAGUGUCUUUCUGCAGAGCAGUCAUUGUGUCGGAAGUGAGAUUUUCACCCCAGUCAACUUCAAAUCCGUGUAGCAAAAAAUCUAAAUGGUCAACCCCCUACAAAAUUAUGAUGAGGAGAUUGCCAAAUGUUGUCCCCAUUGUGCCUAUAAAGAUUGGAACCAACGGAAUGUUGAGAAAAAAGCUACAGCCUGUGAUGUUACAGCCAUUUAACAUUGAAGUCAAUGGGCAAAUAAUUGCUAGUCUGAGUCCAUUUAAGGUUAAUUAUCUCCCUUUAGUCUUCAAACCAUAUAGGAGGCAGACCACCAUUAAAUUUCACCAUCUCGGUACCCGUAGUUCGUCUAUUUAUAGCAAUUCUCUCUCUCUCUCUCUUUUCUCCCCUUUUGCAUGCCCAUUUUUGUUGAUUUUUUGGUCUAGAAUGGACGAAGAGGGUUUGAAUUAACAUUUUCUGCCAGGUUUUGGUAAAUAUUCAUGAUUUUGAGGUGGAAGGAUAAGAGGGUUAUCAGGUUAGCUAUGGCGAUAUGUACGGCAAGUAGUUACAUGUUUUUAGUAUGCUUCUUCAAGUUUGUGUAUCUCAAAAUUUUGGUGGUCAACCUCAUACAAAUUUUAGUGCAAGGACAUGACCAUUUGUUCCUCUGUCUGUAGUGAAAAGCAUUCAACCCAACGAAAAUUUGGGGAAAAGUUGGAGGUGGGCAAAGAGGCCAGAAUUAACAUUGAAGUCAAUGGGGAAAUUAAUGGUGGUCUGCCUCCUAUAUGAAAACAACCUGACAGUGGAUGAAAGGCCUAAAUUUGAUGAUAUGAUCUCCAAAUUGUCAGAAAAUGUGAUAUAUGGCAUUUUGAUAGUAAAAAAUGUGAAAUGGUAAAAUUUCAAAAAUAUUUGACAAAUUUGGGAGGGGAAGUUUUGAUUUUAGUCAAAAUUUUGUGAUUUUCAGUGUUUAUUUACUUUUCAAAAUUAGUGGGAAAUAUUUUAAUGUAUGAUUUUUACUUUUUCUGCAUUAUAAAGGUUAGACGGGAAGAAAGUAUCAUAAUUUCCCUCAAUUUUGCCUAAAAAUCAUGAUAAAUUGUCUGAAAUUCUUCAGAUUACCCCCAGUAUUGCUGUCAAAAUAUUAAUUAUUCAUCUGUUGUAAAAUGAACCAAAAUGUCUUGCAUGUCUUUAUUUUCAUUGUUAAAUAACUUGGCAAGGAUCCAUGUGUUUGUCAGAUAUUGAAAAAGUAUUCAUGUGUUUGUCAAAAAUUUAAAAAUUAAGAAAUUUAGUCUAAUUAUGUUCUGCUUAGGUGUGUUAGAAUUUUCAAAACAUGAGUGAACUGCAUUUUGCUGCUGUUUUCCUCAGGCUUAACAUAAUUUUAAUCUUUCAAAACCUGAAAUUGUUGCAUUUCCCUUCUCGAGAAGGUAAAAUCUAUGUGUUUGCAGGGAAAUUUCUCUGUCUUCAUUUCAUUUAGAAUGGCUUACCCUCCCCACCCCACCCCUUUUCUUGAAGAUGAUAUUUGGAUAUUCAAUUGAACAUUUGUUGACUCCAAAUUAGCAGUAAUUUGAUUUUGUGCUUGAAUUGUAACCGAGCAUUUUAUUUGACACAAACAAAUAGUUACAUAUAAGAUUUCAAGGAUUUCUAAGACUUUUUGUUUAUGGUCAAACAUGUAAUCCUAUGACAUUUCUUCCAAAUGAGUCCACACCCCAAAAUGGAUAUGUUGUAGAUGUGUUUUUUGCAGCUUAAUGUUUUACAUUUUGAAUGUAAAUCAAUUAUUUGUGGUGAUCUUUUAAAAUGUGGCACUUACAGGGCUAUAAAAUAUUAAUUAAUAGCCUUUUCAUACCCCUUUUAUGCUUUGAAUUAUGUCAGAACUCCCUUUUUCCAUCUCAUUUUGUCAGGACAUUGAUGUAAAGAUCAAAAUAACUUGCUUCCACAUAAUAUUUACACUGUGUAAUUUCAAGGAUACCUCUGAUUGUUAAAGUAUUUUAAAAACUGAAAUAUUCCCAUUUUUUAGAAAAAAAUAGUGCUUUGCGACCCUUUUAUUAGAGUGGCUGGUUGUCACCUAAAUACAGCAUUUAUUUUACAUUU